UGGGGAAUAUUGCACAAUGGGCGCAAGCCUGAUGCAGCCAUGCCGCGUGUAUGAAGAAGGCCUUCGGGUUGUAAAGUACUUUCAGCGGGGAGGAAGGGAGUAAAGUUAAUACCUUUGCUCAUUGACGUUACCCGCAGAAGAAGCACCGGCUAACUCCGUGCCAGCAGCCGCGGUAAUACGGAGGGUGCAAGCGUUAAUCGGAAUUACUGGGCGUAAAGCGCACGCAGGCGGUUUGUUAAGUCAGAUGUGAAAUCCCCGGGCUCAACCUGGGAACUGCAUCUGAUACUGGCAAGCUUGAGUCUCGUAGAGGGGGGUAGAAUUCCAGGUGUAGCGGUGAAAUGCGUAGAGAUCUGGAGGAAUACCGGUGGCGAAGGCGUCCCCCUGGACGAAGACUGACGCUCAGGUGCGAAAGCGUGGGGAGCAAACAGG
rnacentral:rRNA from 1 species